UACGUAGGGUGCAAGCGUUAAUCGGAAUUACUGGGCGUAAAGCGUGCGCAGGCGGUUGUGCAAGACAGAUGUGAAAUCCCCGGGCUUAACCUGGGAACUGCAUUUGUGACUGCACGGCUAGAGUGCGGCAGAGGGGGAUGGAAUUCCGCGUGUAGCAGUGAAAUGCGUAGAUAUCAGGAGGAACAUCGAUGGCGAAGGCAGCCCCUUGGACCUGUACUGACGCUCAUGCACGAAAGCGUGGGGAGCAAACAGG
rnacentral:rRNA from 1 species